CGCGGCGAAGUCUGACGGAGCACGCCGCGUGAGUGUGAGGCUUUCGGGUCGUAAACACUGUUUUGUUGGGGAAAAACGGUCCGGAGUAACUGCCGGUACCUUGACGGUACCUAACCAAAAAGCCACGGCUAACUACGUGCCAGCAGCCGCGGUAAUACGUAGGUGGCAAGCGUUGUCCGGAAUUAUUGGGCGUAAAGCGCGCGCAGGGGGUCCUUUAAGUCUGAUGUGAAAGCCC
rnacentral:rRNA from 1 species